rnacentral:rRNA from 1 species
CCUACGGGGGGCUGCAGUCGAGAAUCAUUCACAAUGGGGGAAACCCUGAUGGUGCGACGCCGCGUGGGUGAAUGAAGGUCUUCGGAUUGUAAACCCCUGUCAUGUGGGAGCAAAUUAAAAAGAUAGUACCACAAGAGGAAGAGACGGCUAACUCUGUGCCAGCAGCCGCGGUAAUACAGAGGUCUCAAGCGUUGUUCGGAAUGACUGGGCGUAAAGCGUGCGUAGGCGGUUUCGUAAGUCGUGUGUGAAAGGCCCGGGCUCAACCCGCGGACGGCACAUGAUACUGCGAGACUAGAGUAAUGGAGGGGGAACCGGAAUUCUCGGUGUAGCAGUGAAAUGCGUAGAUAUCGGGAGGAACACUCGUGGCGAAGGCGGGUUCCUGGACAUUAACUGACGCUGAGGCACGAAGGCCAGGGGAGCGAAAGGGAUUAGAUACCCCGGUAGUC